UCCGAGUUGUAAUCUAGAGAAGUGUUGUCCGCGCUGGACCGUGUACAAGUCUCCUGGAAUGGAGCGUCGUAGAGGGUGAGAAUCCCGUCUUUGACACGGACUACCAGGGCUUUGUGAUACGCUCUCAAAGAGUCGAGUUGUUUGGGAAUGCAGCUCAAAAUGGGUGGUAAAUUCCAUCUAAAGCUAAAUAUUGGCGAGAGACCGAUAGCGAACAAGUACCGUGAGGGAAAGAUGAAAAGAACUUUGGAAAGAGAGUUAAACAGUACGUGAAAUUGCUGAAAGGGAAACGCUUGAAGUCAGUCGCGUUGGCCGGGGAUCAACCUUGCUUUUGCUGGGCGUACUUUCCGGUUGACGGGUCAGCAUCAAUUUUGACCAUUGGAUAAAGUCUAGAGGAAUGUAGCAUCUUCGGAUGUGUUAUAGCCUUUGGUCGCAUACAAUGGUUGGGAUUGAGGAACUCAGCACGCCGCAAGGCCGGGUACUUGUACCACGUUCGUGCUUAGGAUGCUGGCAUAAUGGCUUUAAUCGACCCGUCUUGAAACACGGACCAAGGAGUCUAACAUGCCUGCGAGUGUUUGGGUGGCAAACUCGGACGCGUAAUGAAAGUGAAAGUUGAGAUCCCUGUCGUGGGGAGCAUCGACGCCCGGACCAGACCUUUUGUGACGGAUCCGCGGUAGAGCAUGUAUGUUGGGACCCGAAAGAUGGUGAACUAUGCCUGAAUAGGGUGAAGCCAGAGGAAACUCUGGUGGAGGCUCGUAGCGAUUCUGACGUGCAAAUCGAUCGUC
rnacentral:rRNA from 1 species